UUGGUCAGCUAAUAGAAUGUAAUUGUGGAACUCAUCACUGUGGAAAGAGCACCUAUAGGUCUAAGAGGUAGGUAACAAAGAAGAGAACAUAGAAAGAGAUCCAGAGAGGCAUUCCUAAUUACAUAAUACAACAUCUGAGUCAAGCUGCACCUGAAGGAGAGAGCAACUGAAUCAUUCUUCAAAUGUGAUUUCUUGGAAGGAAAGAUCAAAGACAUAAUGAAUAAUCUGCUUCACAGGAAGAAAGGUGUAUGAAACCUUAGCUUUUUCCAUGAAAACACUCCAUCGUGUACCAAGAUAAACAGCACAUACCUGUCGCCAAAGCCCCACCAUCACUACCACAAACUAAUCGUCCAUAGGAGCUCUGAAGAACAACCAUAGAACUUGGGUGUCCAACCGCCACUGUCAUAGCUAUCUAUAGAAAAGAGAGUGUGCCUAGGGCAAAUUCCAGUAUGAAGCAAGAAUGAACAUGUCAAAUCCAUUGCUGGGAAUACAGCAUACAGAACGUUUUUAUCAAACUGUGUAACCCCAUCCAUUAUAUUUUAACCACAUGGCAAAAGGAAUAAAAGUUAUUAAGGUAUCACCUUUUCUAAUAAAAAACAACCAGAUAAGCCCA